rnacentral:rRNA from 1 species
GAUGAACGCUAGCUACAGGCUUAACACAUGCAAGUCGAGGGGUAACGAGAGGAAAGCUUGCUUUCCUUGUCGACGACCGGCGCACGGGUGAGUAACGCGUAUCCAACCUGCCCCCAACUAAGGAAUAACCUUGCGAAAGUAAGACUAAUACCUUAUAAUUUCCUCAGAUGACAUCUGACGAGGAAUAAAGAUUUAUCGGUUGUGGAUGGGGAUGCGUCUGACUAGCUUGUUGGCGGGGUAACGGCCCACCAAGGCAACGAUCAGUAGGGGUUCUGAGAGGAAGGUGCCCCACCUUGGGACUGGGACACGGUCCAAACUCCUACGGGAGGCAGCAGUGAGGAAUAUUGGUCAAUGGGCGAAAGCCUGAACCAGCCAAGUAGCGUGCAGGAUGCCGGCCCUCUGGGUUGUAAACUGCUUUUAUACAGGAAUAAAGUUAGCCACGUGUGGUUAUUUGUAGGUACUGUAUGAAUAAGGACCGGCUAAUUCCGUGCCAGCAGCCGCAGUAA